CACGUUACUAAAUAGUUCACAAGAAACAACUGGUGUUUAGAGGAAUAUUACCAGUAAACAAAAAGUAGGUUGAGCACACAAUUCUUCUCUAUCGUCUGAUGUUACGAAGGCUAUAGGAAACAAAAAAAAACACGGAGAGAAAAUAGUGCAGAUGGUACAACUAGUUUUGAGAUAUACAGUAUGUGUAUUUAUUACACUCACACAAGAAGAGCUAGUUUAGGCACUGGGCUCUAGUGUAGAAAGCAACAGGAUAAGUA